CUCCUUGUCGCCGCCGAGUUUCUCUGACGCAACAGAAGCCUCUAACUCCUGGCCACGGGUCGUGCGCCAAGGCCGGACUGCCCAGCUUCCCGGUCCCCCCAGGGUUACCCUUGGGUGCAGGCGCGGCCUUUCUCCAAGGGGAGGGGGCAGCUACCCUUCUGCAAAGCGAAGGAGAAAUUCUAAGUAGGCGUGAAACUGUCAAGAGGCGCAGCCUGGCACCCACCCCUGCAAGGCACUGUGGCAGGCGAACCCUCCGGGCCUGGAGCGCCACCGAGAUGCUCCUCUGACACCGCGGGAGGGAAAGCGUUGACUGUUUUGUCUUCCCCGCCCCCUCCGGCGCGCGGUUCCGGGAGUUUAGGGCUCGGGCCGGGAGGAAAGGGCGAGAAGGCGCUUCUGGGCUCGCUGGGCAGGCAGGCGCUUCCGAGCCUGCGCCCGGCCUCUGUCCUCGCGGCCCGAAGCGGGGCGGGACGCGGAGGUGAGGUCGUGGGGCGGGCAGGGACCUCAGCCCCGGGAGGGGCUUCUGCGCUCGGAGCCGUCGGCGCUCGGCGAGUUGAGUCGCGCAGACCGCCUGCCUCCCGGCUCUGCUCCCAGGCCCUACGCGCCGGCGGGUGCCUGGACCCCGAGAACGCCGCGACUCCAGACCUAGGGGGCGCCUCCCCAGCGCCGAGGAAGGACCGCCGAGACGGAAGGGGCAGCCGGGCCCGCGCGAUUUCAUUUCGCGCUUGGCCGCCACCAGCAAGAAGCAGAACUCAGAACCCGACUCUCACCCUCACGCCCGGCCCCCAGCCCUGCCCGGCCCAGCCCGUGGGGCUCAGGGAGGCCCCGGGGGGCGCUGUCUCCUCUCCUCCUGCGAACAUCACCUCUAGUAAUACGCGCCCACCCUACCCAGCUUGGCGAGCCACCCGGCCCAGGGGUGACCCCGCCGCGGCUCCGUCUUGCCGGGUGCGGAUCCCCGGCAGAGCUGGCCCAGGGAGGCGGGCAGAGCACAGCGUCCCCGCGGCUCCUACCUCCCCGAGGCGGCCGCACGGGAUGGAGGCAGGGGGCGGGGGCGGCAAGCGGCCAGCAGCCAGGCGAAGGGAUCAGCUCGGCUGCAAAGCGCGCGGCCCUGGGCUCGGUGGCACCCUCAAACAGAGCCCAGCCCGGGCCCUCCCGAUCCGGGCGCAGCCUGGGUCCCGCCCUACCUCUACCCAUCCCACGUCUGGCUGAGUUCUCCGCCUUCUGCAUUUCCUUUCCUUCCCGGGGUUUCCACCCCCCUGCUGCUCUCUCUUACUCUCCUCUCCUUCGCCGACUCCUUUCCUCCCCACCUUGUCCCCCGCCCGCCACUCUUCUGCAGUUUACCGCAGAGAGAGCCCCAAACAACCCUCAUAAAGCCAAUAAACUAAAAAUGUAAGCAC
rnacentral:lncRNA from 1 species